rnacentral:rRNA from 1 species
CAGUCGCCGCGGGAAUACGUAGGUGGCAAGCGUUGUCCGGAAUUACUGGGCGUAAAGCGUGCGCAGGCGGUUCGUUAAGACAGAUGUGAAAUUCCCGGGCUUAACCUGGGAACUGCAUUUGUGACUGGCGAGCUAGAGUAUGGCAGAGGGGGGUAGAAUUCCACGUGUAGCAGUGAAAUGCGUAGAGAUGUGGAGGAAUACCGAUGGCGAAGGCAGCCCCCUGGGCCAAUACUGACGCUCAUGCACGAAAGCGUGGGGAGCAAACAGGAUUAGAUACCCCUGUAGUCCCUGUCUCUUAUAC